UUUUCAUUAUGCCAUUAUUAAAAUACCUACCAAAAGAAGAUUUGUUGCCAAAAUUUCCAAAGUAUGAAUGAAAAAUGAAGAAAAUUGGUGAAUAUAAGACGAAUUUGCGCUCAAGACGUCUAAAACGUGCAUUUAAAAUUAUGCAUUUGUACUCAAAAUAACUACCUAUGCCAAAUAUGCUUUAGAAAUGAAAAAAAAAAAACACGUUAAAAGAGAGAGUUGUGACACACUCAAAAAAAGAAGAAGAUCUGAAGAUGAAUCGUGAAACAUGACGAGUACGAGCUACGGACCUACCUAUCAUAUAUGCAAUCCAUCACUCAUCUACGUUGAAACAUUUGCAUAAAUCGAUGCCUGAUUCAUUACGGCUGUAACUGUAAGCCACAUUGCUGCCUUUAGAGCCGGAUUUCGGAUUUCCUUUCAUGAAAUGGAUAUUUUAUACUUAUUACAACGAGGAGAAAAUAAUUAUUCACCAACUAAUUACGAGUACAUGUGGGCAUUGGCGCAGAAAAGUUGAAUUUAUUUGUGGAAAUAUCAGUUUUGCAUGAAUAACCAUGGAAUAAUAUCAAAAUGAUAAUAUUAAUAAUUAUACCUUAUCGAUGUAUCCUGAAACGAUGUAGAUUUGAUAUCAUUAAAAUAAUUUUAGAGCAAACAUUUUCAUUUCAUGUAGAAUGAACGACUUCAAUAAUUUUCCUGAUCACUAUUGAGCGUUCGA